rnacentral:tRNA from 1 species
GCGUCCGUAGCUCAAUUUGGAUAGAGCAUUACUUUCCGAAAGUAAAGGUCUCAGGUUCAAAUCCUGUCGGACGCA